UUUCUUUUCCAAUGCAUAAACAUGUAGUAGAUGCAUGGUGGUAUAUUUAUGGUUUCUCGUUUUUGCAUUUCUCAAGUCCAUUAAGUUUGGCUGGAAAGUAGGAACACAGACAGAGAGAAGAAGUUAAUUAAUUGAUGGAAAUUAAUUAGUAAUUUUAAUUAGACGAAUACGGACAUAGGUGUUAGAGAAAUGACAGAAACAGCAGAACUAAAUGCGUUUCUCUAAUGGCAUUUAUUCUGUCCGAUUGCUAAUAUCAAUUUUUAGGUGGCAAGUAUAUUUCUUGGUAGCCAUCUUCUCUUUUUGAAUCAUUAGCGUUUUAAUCCAUAAUCUAUUCUUGUAAAGAUGGUCUUGAGAAGUAAAUGUUUGUCUAAUCAAGGUACUAAGUCAUCUAAAAUGGUCAUAAACUCGGUGUUUAGUUAGUUAUUUAUGGAUGUUUAUAUAUCGUGGAGAAUAUUAAAGAUGUAGGAUUCUUAGAAGAUAAUAUAGAAAACUACCUACCACCCUCUUUCCCAUCACCCUUGAAUAAAAACAACAGCUUUUCAUCCUUUGUACGAAUGAGUUUACUGUUUUAGACUACACAUAAAACCAUUUAUGAAAGCAACUUCUCAAUGAUCUCCCUCAGCUAUAUAAUUAUACAUAUACAAAAAGCACAAAGUGUUCGAACGAGUUCAUACAGAAAUUGAAAACCUUCGUGUAGAAACCUAAGUCAAACUAUAUUUAUGGCUAGGAUUGUAUCAUGCAUGCAGCAUUUAUAGGACUCAAAACAAGAAAUUAAGUGUUACAAGCUCUAGGAAAGUGAGAAAUUUUUCCUUGGUAUGUUAGACAUAAUCGAGGAUGAGUCUAGAUUAUCUCUAAGUAUUGAUCAUAUAUUAGUACCAAUUUGUCUUGAUUACCUCUAAUGGAUAACGAUAGCCCCUGGCAGUAUAUGUUAGGAAUUACAUCUUUAGAUUACAAAGUAACAAAUUAUAUUAGGGAAUUCAGAAGCUUGGUCGAUUAUCUCUGAGUGUUGAUGAUUAAGUCACUAACAAACUAAUAAAACUGCAAGAAAGAUGGGGUUUGG
rnacentral:misc_RNA from 1 species